UACGGAGGAUGCAAGCGUUAUCCGGAAUUAUUGGGCGUAAAGCGUCCGCAGGUGGCACUUCAAGUCUGCUGUCAAAGACCGGGGCUUAACCCUGGAAAGGCAGUGGAAACUGAAGCGCUAGAGUGUGGCAGGGGAGACUGGAAUUCCCGGUGUAGCGGUGGAAUGCGUAGAGAUCGGGAAGAACAUCAGUGGCGAAGGCGGCCUGCUGGGCUGUUGCUGACGCUGAGGCGCGACAGCGUGGGGAGCAAACAGG
rnacentral:rRNA from 1 species